GGAUAUACCUCAGUGGUCGAGUGCAUGCUUAGCGUGCAUGAGGUCCUGGGUUCAAUCUCCAGUACUUCCA
rnacentral:tRNA from 1 species